CGGAUCGGGUCGGCGCCGAAGGUCAGCGACGGCGCCGGGGACCGGGGGCCGGUGCGCUAGAGAUGGAGAGAGGGUAAGGAGAGAGGAGAGAGAGAGAGAGAGAAAAUGAACAAAUUCCAAAGAGAAAAGAUAAGCAUGCUUAUAAUCUAAUUUGUAAUAGUAAAUUGUUGGUUAGAGAAACUUACAAGAAAUAGUUAAUUCCUCAAAUUAUUUAUGGUCACAACCUAACAAGAGGUGUAAACUAAACUAUUUAUGCUUACAAUGCAAUACUGAAGGAUUACAUGUCGCAAUAUCAAGUCCACAAAGAAAGACCAACUAUCUUUAUAUGCGCGAAAAUCCUUUUAAUGUGAAAUCUGGCUACCAAGUUCAAAACAACCCCCUGCAUGCUAUUUGAAUCCUUAGGAACAUAUAUAGAAGUCAAAGGAUCAACCCAAAAGGGUGGCCAAGUUGGUUGAGCAGGGAGCUCUAUAAUGGGGAGUCUCAAGUUGGAAACCCUUUCAUUCUUUCUUGGUUGAGCUCAUCGCACGGGGCUUGCUCAGUGCAGUUUACCUCUCUUAUGUGGUUUGCAGACUAUUAUUCUGAAAUGGGUUUACCCUGUAUGCACUCGAAGGGUAGCAGUAGCAGGUUCCCUUGUCAUCAAAAAGAAAAAAUAGAAUUCAAAACAUCCGGCCAAGGUUGUGUUUUCUUUGGUUGGUCUUUAGAGAAGCAUGUCUCACUCAGGAUAAUCUGCAUAGGAGGGGCUACCAGUUAUGUAACAAUGUUAAAUGUGUAAUAACAACACAUAGUCAAUCAAUCAUCUAUUCUUGCAUUGUACCAUAGUAGCACAGCCAUGGCAGAUGUUCUACAGUAUUUUUGGCAUCAACUGGGUAAUGCUAAUAUCAACCUCAGACUUGUUAAAAUGAUGAAACAAAAAAGGUGCAAAAAGGUUUUGUGAAACUAUAUGGAAUACAAUUCCAGCAUGCAUUUGGCGGUGUCUAUGGAAGUAAAGGAACUUGGUUGUAUAUUUUAUGAUCUAGUUCGAUCAAGAUGGAUUUUUUAAAUGACAUGGAAACUUUAUUACAAUGCAUAGAUAGCUUGCAAUUUCCAUUUUUUCUUGUUUUUGGAACUUUUGGUAUACUCCAGACACUAUCUUCUUGCUAUAUCAACAAUAGUUAGCCUUUUCAAGGAAAAAAUAAUCUAUAAUAACUUGUUAAAAUGUCGAAACACACAAUGUAGAUAAACACUUGAUAUCGGUGAACAUAAACUAGAGACUAGAACGAUACAAGCAUCUAAAAUCACAAAGCCCAUUGAUAAUUUCCACAACAAGACCUGCAUAAAGGAAAAACAAAAUCAAACAAGAAAUGAGAACAAGAUGAAUUUGCAAUGCCACGACUAGAUAUACACAUCAAAUAAUAAACUGGAAAUACACAACUGUGUACCUCAUUAUGCAAAGUCUGUUGAGAGAACCUAUUGUAGAACAAGUGUCUGUAGGCUUUAAUUAUAUGCAAAAUCAAGUCAAUAACCAAAAUCUACAUUCCAAACGAAUAAUUAGGAACAUAACCAAGAAUGCUAUAUAUAGGAACCUCAAUGUAUAUGUUACUUCGCUUGAACCUGUUUUACUCCAAUAUUAUAAGAACUCACUGGAAGUCCUCUACAUUUGCUAUGUGCUUAUGAACCUCUAAUGAGACUAAACAAUUUCUAAUAAAAAUAUUUGGCAUAAAAUAACAUACUAACAUGAAUAGAACUUAAUCCCAGCUAGUAAUUGGUAUAAUCUCAAAGCUAAAAACUUGGGCCAUUUCUCAGUUUGUGGACCCCCUAAUACAAGGCCUAAUGGCUUAUGCUAAUCUUAUUGUGUCGCUCAAGAGAAACCAAGUGAUACAAAAUCUCAAAAGAAGAAUAGGAAUAAAGCUAAUUUAUCAGUUGGUCAAAACUGCAUCGCCAUACUUGGUAGGGCUCAAUAUAAAAGACAAUUAGACCUCAGGCAGUAGAGAUGGCGAUGUAAGACACUCCAAUGGAUGAAUUUGAUACCACAUUGACCACUAAUCACCAGGCAAAAAACAACUACAACUACCUAACAAGGGGCUAAUCCAAAUAAAUUUCUGAAAUAGACACAUCAAUUAAAUCAAAACCAAAAAUGCAAAAUAUUAGGUCAACAAUCAAAGUAAAGCAGUGGAGAGCUGAAAUUAUGUCAAAAUUACCUUAAUAUCACCAAACUAAAGAACAAACCCUAAAUUUUCUUAGAAAUUGAAGUGCAAAUUUGAGAGUUGAAAUCAAAGUGGUUGUCAGAGCAAUGGAGAAGCUGAUUUGUGGUCGGAGCAUGCACUAGUGGUCGAUUUCACGCACUGGUGGUUGAUUUUGUGGUCGGAGCACUUAGUUGAUUGUGGUCGGAGCGUAGUACUGGUGGCGAUUGUGGUAAGACCGUAGUACUAAUGGCGAUCGUGGUAAGACCAUAGUACCGGUGGCGCAAUUGUUGGAAGACCGUAGUAGCGGCGGCGCUAUUGUGGCCCAAUUAAUUAUCAUUAAUUAUCAGAAUUAAUGAUAAUUAAUAUUUUUUUUAUUAGUUUAAUAAUUCUAAGUCAACUAAAAUUGACUUUCAAAAGAUUUGAAAAUUUUAAAAAUAAAUAUAAAAAUGUUAGAAUAAGAAAAAAUUAACAAGUAUCAAACUUUUAAAAAUUUUAAU
rnacentral:lncRNA from 1 species